rnacentral:rRNA from 1 species
AUUGAACGCUGGCGGCAGGCCUAACACAUGCAAGUCGAGCGGAUGAAGGGAGCUUGCUCCUGGAUUCAGCGGCGGACGGGUGAGUAAUGCCUAGGAAUCUGCCUGGUAGUGGGGGAUAACGUCCGGAAACGGGCGCUAAUACCGCAUACGUCCUGAGGGAGAAAGUGGGGGAUCUUCGGACCUCACGCUAUCAGAUGAGCCUAGGUCGGAUUAGCUAGUUGGUGGGGUAAAGGCCUACCAAGGCGACGAUCCGUAACUGGUCUGAGAGGAUGAUCAGUCACACUGGAACUGAGACACGGUCCAGACUCCUACGGGAGGCAGCAGUGGGGAAUAUUGGACAAUGGGCGAAAGCCUGAUCCAGCCAUGCCGCGUGUGUGAAGAAGGUCUUCGGAUUGUAAAGCACUUUUAGUUGGGAGGAAGGGCAGUAAGUUAAUCCCUUGCUGUUUUGACGUUACCAACAGAAUAAGCACCGGCUAACUUCGUG